ACGCAUUUAUUUAGGGGAACUAUGGAAGAAAAUCAAGUUGAUCAAAGCAUGGUCAAUUCUCAUGAAAUGCAUAUUGAUUAUAUUUGUAGAGAGCAUAACAAUUUUGAAUCUGAACAGGAUGCAUGCAACUUCUACCAUCACUUUGGAUUCAAAGGGAAUAUAACAUCUAGAAAAUUCACAUCUUGGACCAAGCAAGUAUGCAAUCUGAGAUAACUCAAGCCUAUAUAGAUUCAACUCA
rnacentral:lncRNA from 1 species